UAGGCGGGGUCCGAAAAGCCGAGAAAAGAGUAGGAA
rnacentral:ncRNA from 1 species